GAGAGAGAGAGAGAGAGAGAGAGAGAGAGAGAGAGAGAAGUGGCCAGAGCAGGAAGCCAAGAGCUCACCUCUGAACAACACCAAGGAAGCAGAGAGAGUGAACUGGAAGAGGGUGGAGCUAUAAACCUUCCAAACCCACCUCCAGCCACCUAUUUCCUCAGGAAAGCGGCACCUAUGAGGUUCUGUGACCUCUUCAAACAGUACCGCCAACUGGGGACCGAGUAUUCAAAUACCUGAGUCUGGAAGAUGACAACAUUUUCAUUUCAGACCAUAACCAUUCUAAUAGCUCUUUGCUCUCCCGCAGGCAUGUGAAGCAGAGGUGCACUCUACAUCGAUGUUAACUAAGUUUUGUUGAAACAUGGCUGUCUUUCUUCUCAAAGAGCUUCCAUCUCCAUGGUAGCCUGAGCCCAAUGCUCUCAACACAGUGAUGUUCUGCCUCCUUACAGGCCAGAAUCCGUGGACCUGAGGGCUAUAACUUUCCCCUUGGAAACUGUGAGCCCAAAUAAACAGUUCCUCCCUUG